rnacentral:lncRNA from 1 species
AAGGUAUUUGGCUCUCUUGCCCUUCUGCCUUCUGCCAUGUGAGGACACAGUAUUCCUCCCCACCAUGAGGGGAGCCAUCUUGGAAGCAGAGAGUGGCCUUCACAAGCAACCUCUCUGAUCUUGGACUUGCCAGCCUCCAGAACUGUGAGUUUUCUAAUGCUACGUGCAUGUGUGCGCAUAUAGCACAGCCUGUAGUGAAAAGACUGGGCAAGAAGAGGAGAUACAGCCACAGCAAUGACAGCAAAGGAGCUGAACUUCUGCUUGUCUCAGCCUUGACACACUUUUCACUUCCCACUUACUUCCCUCUCAAUACAGCCUGAUUUUUCACUGUGAAAUCUGAUAUAAAAGGAAAUGCACCUGAGGAAAUGGGUGUAUAUACACUGAAUGACAUCUCCAUGCCUUUUUAAAUUUUCCCAUUCCUUUCCACAUCCACUGCUGUAAUGCAAGGAUCUAUCAUCUGAUGAGAAUAAUGGUGGUGGAUGUGGUGGUGUAGGCAUUCACUCACUGAGGGGAAAUUUACAAAGGACCAUUUGUGGGGUUAGGGGCCAGGAGAUGUGAGGCCCCUCAGACUACUGAUGUUGGAGGUGAUCAUUGAUCUGGAAGGGAGUAAGAAUGAGGGAAUGUCAUAGUAACAACACCCAAAGAUGACAUUGAUGACUGCCCUAAAUACACAAAAACACUGGGCAUCUAUUAAGCUCUUUUUCAGAAACACUGUACACUCUGAUAGUCAUGGUGCUAUAGAUGCAAGAACAUUCACAGUUCAAAGGAGCAUUAUCUUGAUGUCAUGUACUGUGCUCAUAAACUCAGUCCACUGAAUGGAAAGACAUGGAGCCAAAAGUCACUUUCAGCCAAUGGCUUAACAUGCAAUCAAAUGUGAAUUGUAACUUUGGUCUUUGGUGGGUCUACCAUGGGACAACGUGAUUUAAUUCAAUCAAUAUGUUUAAAUAUCUACUAGUUUUUUGUUUUGUUUUGUUAUGUUUUGUUUUUGAGACAGAGUCUCACUCUGUUGCCCAGGCAGGAGUGCAAUGGUGCGAUCUAGGCUCACUGCAACCUCUGCCUCCUGGGUUCAAGCGAUUCUCCCUGCCUCAGCCUCCCAAGUAGCUGGGAUUACAGGUGUCUGCCACCACGCCCAGCUAAUUUUUGUAUUUCUAGUAGAGAACGGGUUUCAUCAUGUUGGCCAGGCUGGUCUCAAACUCCUGACCUCAGGCGAUCUGCCAGCCUCGGCCUCCCAAAGUGCUGAGAUUACAAGUGUGAGCCACCAUUCCUGGUCUAAAUGUCUACUAGUUUGUGAAGCAUUGUAGAAGUGCUUACUAGAGGUACAAAAAUUAGUAAUUCUUGCAUGGUACUACUUGCCAUCAAAAAGUCAACAGAACAUCUGCAAAUGAGACAAAUUAUGUCCAGUGAAUUCUGCCUUGUCAUUCAGAUCUAUAUCAACAAUAAAAGAAAAACAACUUAUGAAAAUUCAAAGAAUAAUUAUUUGGGGAGGAGUCAGGGAGAAAUCAGUAAGCCCGCAAGAGAAGGACACUACAUUUCAGAUGUGUCUUGAUGGAUAUACAGAUUUUCACCAGGCAAUGUGAGGGCAGGAAGUUAAUUCUAAGCAGUGGGUAAAACAGGAGAUAUAGCUGGUUAUGGUCCCAGCUACUCAGGAGGCUGAGGCAGGAGGAUUGCUUGAGGCCAGGAGUUCGAGGCUGCAGUGACCCAUAAUGGCACCACUGCACUCCAGCCUGGGCAACAGAGUGAGACUCUGAUUCAAAAGAAAAGAAAGAAAGAAAAAAGGAGAUAUGUUUGGAGACCAGGGAACAGUUCAGUUUAGCCAGAUCAAGGUGUAGACCCAGCUGCGUCAUGAUUUUCGUAGGAGCCUUGAAAAUCAAGCUAAGGAAUUUGUAUUUUUGAUUCUAUAAGUAAUGGAGGGGGGCAUUAAAAGAUUUUGUGCAGGAGAAUCUAUGACUCAAGUUAGGUUUCAGUAAAUUUAGUUGGUUUUGAGUGGGGAGAAGCAGUUAGUGCAAAUAGGAUGUAACCCUCAUGGCCUAGAAAGGAUGCUGAGAACAUAAUCUUGGUGGUAGAAAUGGAAAUUGAAGGAAGAGACAGAUAUAAAAUACAGAAAGAACCAACAAGUCUUGGUGACUUAUUCAUCAUGAUGAGAAUACCAUAGAGAAGGAGACUCUUGCUUUUUUUUUUUUUUAACAACAUGCCUCAAAAAAUGUUGCCACGAUAAUUGUUUUCAGAAGAUAGAGCAUGUCUUUUUAGACAUACUGACUUUAAGGUGCUGGUAAAACUUUCUUAUGAGUCUGACGAGCAGAAGAGGAAUGGAGCAGACUAUACACUCAAGAGAUAACUCCCCAUCAAAAUAAGAAUCAAAGCCACACUUUGAUUAGGAAGAGAGUAUAGAGGGAGAAGAUAAUUAAAAGACAACCAUGUGAAAGGCUGCACAAAAUGGGCAAAAAGAGGAAAUAAGUGUCAUAAAAGGAGAUCUGGCUGGGCGCGGUAGCUCACGCCUGUAAUCCUAGCACUUUGGGAGGCCGAGGCAGGAGGAUCACUUGAGGUCAGGAGUUCAAAACCAGCCUGACCAACGUGGUGAAACGCCAUCUCUACUAAAAAUACAAAAAGAAAAAAAAAAUUAGUCGGGCAUGGUGGCGGGUGCACCCGUGAUCCUGGCUACUCGGGAGGCUGAGGCAGGAGAAAUGCUUGAACCCAAGAGGCAGAGAUUGCAGCGAGCCAAGGUCACGCCACUGCACUCCACCCUGGGCAACAGAAUGAGACUCCGUCUCAAAAAAAAAAAAAAAAAAAAAAGAGAGAUCUGAGAGAAAUCAGAGAAAGGAGAAUAAUUCAGUGCAAGUGGGAAAGGCUUCAUUCAUUCAAUAUCUGUUGUUGAGCAAAUAUUACAAGUCAGACUUCAUGCUCAAUACUGGGGAUAAAGUGGUGGACAGGACAGAAUACUUCUGCUCUCACAGAGCUCACAGUCUUCCAACACAUGUUGGUAAACAGCAUGAAACAUCCCAGUGAGUUCAGGACGACACGAAUUGAGAAAAGUCCCUCAGGACCUUUAACCAAAUGAAUACUUUUGGAAUGAAAUGGGUGCUUCAAUGCCCAAGGGUAAAUUAAUUUAUAAUAAUGGGUGCAGUUAUAUAAUUUUGAAAGAUUUUUCAGACUUGCAAAGGAUCCUUGAACAAACAAAAUACUCAUCUCCCCACAACCCCCUCCCUGCCUCACACGUUAAUCUACUUGAAAUAGUCGCUAAGAAGAGAGGCUAUUAAGUAAAAAAACACAUUCUGUUAUGUAUUAUUGAAAAGCAAUAUUAUUCACAUGUUCUGGAAAAAGUGAGAACACGAAAAAUAAAUAAAAGGACAAAAAAUAGUAAGAAGGGCUUAAUAAUUUAAGCCCAGAAAUAUAUCUUCAAAACAAUCAACCACUACCUGGCCUACAAUUCUCCAGAAAUCUUGCACACAGAUUUUAUAUUGCAUGGCUCAUUAAUUUCCAAACCAUCCACAGCUUUAUUUUAUGAGAGGGCAUAAGCUUCAGGCCUGGGGAGAGAGGGUGGCUGAAUUUCAACACUUUGUCCUAUCAUUUGUUUAGUACACCUCUUACAUUUAUAUGACAUAAAGAAAAUAAAAUAAUGAUUGUAUGAUGAAAAGCUUUUCAUGGAUUCAGAAUAAAUGG